UACGGAGGGUGCAAGCGUUAUCCGGAAUCACUGGGUUUAAAGGGUACGUAGGCGGUCUUAUAAGUCAGUGGUGAAAGACCUGGGCUCAACCGAGGUUUUGCCAUUGAUACUGUUAGACUUGAAAUAAGUGGAGGUUUGCGGAAUGCGUCAUGUAGCGGUGAAAUGCAUAGAUAUGACGUAGAACACCAAUUGCGAAGGCAGCGAGCCAUACUUUAUUUGACGCUGAGGUACGAAAGCGUGGGUAGCGAACAGG
rnacentral:rRNA from 1 species